UACGUAGGGGGCAAGCGUUGUCCGGAUUUAUUGGGCGUAAAGAGCGUGUAGGCGGUUUGGUAGGUCCGUUGUGAAAACUCGAGGCUCAACCUCGAGACGCCGAUGGAAACCAUCAGACUAGAGUCCGGAAGAGGAGAGUGGAAUUCCUGGUGUAGCGGUGAAAUGCGCAGAUAUCAGGAAGAACACCCGUGGCUAAGGCGGCUCUCUGGGCCGUUACUGACGCUGAGGAGCGAAAGCGUGGGGAGCGAACAGG
rnacentral:rRNA from 1 species